GAGAGCGUUCUAAGGGCGUUGAAGCAUGAUCGUAAGGACAUGUGGAGCGCUUAGAAGUGAGAAUGCCGGUGUGAGUAGCGAAAGACGGGUGAGAAUCCCGUCCACCGAUUGACCAAGGUUUCCAGAGGAAGGCUCGUCCGCUCUGGGUUAGUCGGGUCCUAAGCUGAGGCCGACAGGCGUAAGCGAUGGAUAACAGGUUGAUAUUCCUGUACCACCUAUAAUCGUUUUAAUCGAUGGGGGGACGCAGUAGGAUAGGCGAAGCGUGCGAUUGGAUUGCACGUCUAAGCAGUAAGGCUGAGUAUUAGGCAAAUCCGGUACUCGUUAAGGCUGAGCUGUGAUGGGGAGAAGACAUUGUGUCUUCGAGUCGUUGAUUUCACACUGCCGAGAAAAGCCUCUAGAUAGAAAAUAGGUGCCCGUACCGCAAACCGACACAGGUAGUCAAGAUGAGAAUUCUAAGGUGAGCGAGCGAACUCUCGUUAAGGAACUCGGCAAAAUGACCCCGUAACUUCGGGAGAAGGGGUGCUCUUUAGGGUUAACGCCCAGAAGAGCCGCAGUGAAUAGGCCCAAGCGACUGUUUAUCAAAAACACAGGUCUCUGCUAAACCGUAAGGUGAUGUAUAGGGGCUGACGCCUGCCCGGUGCUGGAAGGUUAAGAGGAGUGGUUAGCUUCUGCGAAGCUACGAAUCGAAGCCCCAGUAAACGGCGGCCGUAACUAUAACGGUCCUAAGGUAGCGAAAUUCCUUGUCGGGUAAGUUCCGACCCGCACGAAAGGCGUAACGAUUUGGGCACUGUCUCAACGAGAGACUCGGUGAAAUCAUAGUACCUGUGAAGAUGCAGGUUACCCGCGACAGGACGGAAAGACCCCGUGGAGCUUUACUGUAGCCUGAUAUUGAAAUUCGGCACAGCUUGUACAGGAUAGGUAGGAGCCUUUGAAACGUGAGCGCUAGCUUACGUGGAGGCGCUGGUGGGAUACUACCCUAGCUGUGUUGGCUUUCUAACCCGCACCACUUAUCGUGGUGGGAGACAGUGUCAGGCGGGCAGUUUGACUGGGGCGGUCGCCUCCUAAAAGGUAACGGAGGCGCUCAAAGGUUCCCUCAGAAUGGUUGGAAAUCAUUCAUAGAGUGUAAAGGCAUAAGGGAGCUUGACUGCGAGACCUACAAGUCGAGCAGGGUCGAAAGACGGACUUAGUGAUCCGGUGGUUCCGCAUGGAAGGGCCAUCGCUCAACGGAUAAAAGCUACCCCGGGGAUAACAGGCUUAUCUCCCCCAAGAGUUCACAUCGACGGGGAGGUUUGGCACCUCGAUGUCGGCUCAUCGCAUCCUGGGGCUGUAGUCGGUCCCAAGGGUUGGGCUGUUCGCCCAUUAAAGCGGUACGCGAGCUGGGUUCAGAACGUCGUGAGACAGUUCGGUCCCUAUCCGUCGUGGGCGUAGGAAAUUUGAGAGGAGCUGUCCUUAGUACGAGAGGACCGGGAUGGACAUACCUCUGGUGUACCAGUUGUCGUGCCAACGGCAUAGCUGGGUAGCUAUGUGUGGACGGGAUAAGUGCUGAAAGCAUCUAAGCAUGAAGCCCCCCUUAAGAUGAGAUUUCCCAACUUCGGUUAUAAGAUCCCUCAAAGAUGAUGAGGUUAAUAGGUUCGAGGUGGAAGCAUGGUGACAUGUGGAGCUGACGAAUACUAAUCGAUCGAAGACUUAAUCAA
rnacentral:rRNA from 1 species